rnacentral:tRNA from 1 species
GCCUGGGUGGCUCAGUCGGUUAAGCGUCUGACUUUGGCUCAGGUUAUGAUCUCGUGGUCCUUGGGUUCGAGCCCCGUGUCAGGCU